rnacentral:lncRNA from 1 species
UAACCCCAACUUUCACCAUUUGGCCGCUCCCAGUUUAUGAAUUGUACCACGCCACUCACAACUUUCAACUUAUUUUCCUCUGGCACUCCCUAACUAACUCGGUUAGUUUUUUUGUUGAUGCGGCACUUGUGUAGUGACGUGGCAUCAGGCGUGGGCAUUUUAAUGAUUUGUCAUCUGACGUGGCACUUAUCUAGUGACAUGGCCUUUUUUUAUGAUGUGGCAUUUGUUUAGUGACGUGGCAUCUGACGUCAGCUAACUGGGUUAGAGUUUAGUUAGUUUAGGAGUGCCAAAGAAUAAUAAGUUGAAAGUUGGGAGUGGCAUGGUAUAAUUUCCACCAUUUGGCAGAUAACACUCCCAACUUUCAGCUUAUUUUUCCUCUGGCACUCCCCAACUGACUAACCCUAACCCAAUUAGUUUCUUAUUGAUGUGGCACUUGUGUAGUGACAUGGCAUCUGACGUGGCCUUUUUUUAAUAUUUGUUGUGUACAUUUAACACAAACCAACCGGUUAGUUACCUGGGCUGCCUCGAUUUCUAGUUCUUGAAUCUUGAUAUCAGACG